AAAUUUUAUGAUAAAAUUACAUGAUUUCCCCCUCCCUCUCUCUCUCGGUGGGCACACUCCGUCACUUCCUUUCGCCACACCCCUUUCUCUCUCCGGUAGCAUCUCCACCACCUGUAACCCGACAAAACUCAGCUGCAUACGGAAGCAGAUGUCAAUCUACGCUCUCCCUUUGGGAAUCGUUUCGCUGCCCUAACCAUCCACAGGCCAGAGAGAGGCGCAAUGAAAAUUGGAGCCGAUACGCCAACUACUGUUUUUUAAUGUCAGCUACCAUGGAACAAGAAAUGCUUGGUUCACAUAUCUCAGCCGUAGAAAGUUGCACAAAACACUCAUAUGGGUAUGGUUCCUGCAAUUGUCUGGUCUCAUUCAUGUAAGUGUUCUGUACCACUUUCUGCAGCAUUGUUACCUCUGCCACCAGUCACCACCAUUGGCCCUCACGGUGAUUAGAGCACGCAACAAAAAGCAUAUUGCUGUUCUUUCAAUACCCAUUUUGAUUAGGUCUGCCUUUGGGACUCAUUUCGCUGCCCUAACCAUUACAAGCCAUAGAGAGAGAGAGAGAGGCGCAACAAAAAAAGAACAACCCUCCCGAAAUGGUGGUUGCAAAUCUUGGUACUCUCAGUAGCCGGUUACUACCUUUUGGAGCUCUGCUAACCAAAAUUUUCAAAGCACAUCAUGUCAGCAUUGAAGGUGAAGUAAAUGUGAAAAUUGCUUCACCAAUUUCAGAGUAUGCACUAACCCGAGCUGGUGGCGUUGAAAACUUACUGGGAUCUAUUAAUUUUGCAACUGAACCAAUACCUGAUCUCGAAGACCCCAAUGGCAAUGCCAUGCCACCAAAUCAACAACCCCAAUACUGGACUGAUUAUUUGGCGCUAGAACAAGAACGGUGCAAUCAACGCAUACUGUAAUAACUAGACCCUCGCAUGUGUUUCUGAGUCAUUAUAUAAAAUAUCUCUUGAGAGAGAAUUGGGAGAGGAGCGUUUUAGAGGAAGAGGAAGAGUUCAUCAAGGAGGAAAAUUGGGGGAUUUGAGAGGGUUUAUGGAAAUUUAAGCUCAAGGGCACACUUCGGGAGGAACCCUCGCUCCGCCACAGCACUGUAAUAAAUCUGGAGGUCAGCCAUAACCCUCGAUGCUCGUCUCCCUUUGUCAACCUCUGUGUAUCCAAGCAUUUGGGUGAAGCCUACCCGUUUUUGUGAAGUUUGCUAAGUUUUGGCUUAUACUCUGUUUGUCUAUUAUAUGUUGAAGUUCCCAAUGUUUUUGUUAUAUGCCCAACCAAGGGGAGGGGUUGUCUAUGUGUAUGUAAAUAUCAUCUGAUUCACUGUUUGUGAUCCUGGCAUGAUAGUGGUCGCUCAAUGGAUGUAGUUUCUUUUUUAUCUCAUGUUAUUUUAUAAUAUUUAAUGCUUCCGUUCAGGCCCCAUAUGUGUGUAUAUCAGAUUUAAUGUCCGUUUCCGAUUAGGUCAUGCCCAAACUUUUAGGAGCGGGUUUGGGGUGUGACACAUACAAUGGGAACAACAAAUGGCUAAUCAGGUUAAUACAUUGGGUAAUCGGUUCAAUGAAUUUGCCGUUGCUCAGAACUCACUAAUUCAACAAUUUGGUGAGUUUUGUGUAGACUCUGGGCGACGUGAUGAAGUGACAAGUAACCGCGUUGAUCAGAUUGACCAUCGAGUCACUCAGUUGUACCAUCACUCUUCCCUCCACCUCCACCACCACCUGACAAUGAUGCUUAACUUAUUUCGAUGAGCGAUUAAAUGGUUGACACAUGUUGUGGUUAUUUUGUUUUCUUAAUUACUACCCAUUGGGCUAUGAAGCAUGGUGUAAGAGCAUCUUCAAAAUUAUAUCCCGUAUUGGUGCAACUGUAAUUGUUUUUUUAUUUAUCAAAUGUCAAAUAUGAAUGUUAUUUUGUUGGAGUGAUAAGAAAAGAAUAAAAACAAACGACAAACAUUUAUAAUUA